rnacentral:rRNA from 1 species
UACGUAGGGUGCAAGCGUUAAUCGGAAUUACUGGGCGUAAAGCGUGCGCAGGCGGUUUUGUAAGUCUGACGUGAAAGCCCCGGGCUCAACCUGGGAAUUGCGUUGGAGACUGCAAGGCUUGAAUCUGGCAGAGGGGGGUAGAAUUCCACGUGUAGCAGUGAAAUGCGUAGAGAUGUGGAGGAACACCGAUGGCGAAGGCAGACCCCUAGGUCAAGAUUGACGCUCAUGCACGAAAGCGUGGGGAGCAAACAGG